CCUACGGGAGGCAGCAGUGGGGAAUCUUGCACAAUGGGGGAAACCCUGAUGCAGCGAUGCCGCGUGAGUGAAGAAGGCCUUUGGGUUGUAAAACUCUUUCGUCGGGGAAGAAAAUGACUGUACCCGAAUAAGAAGGUCCGGCUAACUUCGUGCCAGCAGCCGCGGUAAU
rnacentral:rRNA from 1 species